GCAAUGUAGUCAAAUAAAAAAUGUUCAUGUAAUAUUCAAUGGAAAUCUGUUACUUCUACACAGCUUUGUGAACAUUCGUACAUGCUAAUGUCAAUCAAAGAGAAAAACAAAUAUUGAACAAAACAGAAAUCUUCAGAUUGUAAAAAGUCUAGUUAUUUAUAGUUGAUUCACAGUACAGAUUCCUCUUUACCAGACUCAUCUUGCUGAAUACGGUAUUCUGACUUAGAAAGUGGUAUUUUUUUUAUUUCAUAUAUUUUUGAGUACUGAUAAGAAAUAUUUAAAUUGCUUUCAAAAUAAUUGCAAAUGGCUUCAAACAUGCAUGUUUGGUGAGUUGCUAAAACAACACUUUUUUUACGUUCACACAAAGUUGAUCGUAGAUGGAUUAUAAAAAAGAUAUGGUAUGAUUGCCAAUGAGACAACUGUCAACAAGAGACCCACAUGACACAGACAUUAACAACUAUUAUCUAUUGUCCUUUUUGGUCAAAUUGUACUGUGAAUAUUUCGGUUCCUUAACAUCCUUGACUUUCGAAUAUUCGGCAUUGUGCUUUCCUUUUUUAUAUAAAUCAAGAACAAGAAUGUGUCCAUAGUACACGGAUGCCCCACUCGCAUUAUCAUUUUCUAUGUUCAGUAGACCGUGAAAUUGGGGUCAAAAGUCUAAUUUGGCAAUUAAAUUAGAAAGAUCAUAUCAUAGGGAACAUGUGUACUAAGUUUGAAUUUGAUUGGACUUCCAACUUCAUCAAAAAACUACCUUGACAAAAAAACUUAACCUGAAACUUGCACUAUUAUUUCUAUGUUCAGUGGACCGUGAAAUUGGGUCAAAAAGUCUAAUUUGGCAAUUGAAUUAGAAAGAUCAUAUCAUAGGGAACAUGUGUACUAAGUUUGAAGUUGAUUGGACUUCAACUUCAUCAAAAACUACCUUUACCAAAAACUUUAACCUGAACGAACGGACGGAAGGACGGACAGACGAAAGGAUGGACGGACGGACGCACAGACAAGAAAACACAAUGCCCCUCUACUAUCGUAGGUGGGGCAUAAAAAACGAUUCGGAUGCAUAAAAUUUAUAAAGUGUUGUUUGCAUUUUUAUUUUUUUUUUUCACUUAUUAAGUUUCCUCUUCUCUGUAUCUUUAUGACACUUAUGAAUUUAAUAAACACAUUUAAAUAGAGUGUGAAAAGUGAGGAUUGAAAAUGUUGUAUUUUCAGGGGUAAUAAAUGUAAAGUAUUAAUUUUCAUUUAUUUUGUUUUCUAUAUUUUUAUUUUUCAGGGACAAACAAAAACAAUGGAUUUCAAACUCGUGUUAAUCUUAACACAUUUUGGUAAGCACGAAAAAUAUAUUAUAUUUAUAACAUUUUUCCUUCAUCAUUAUCACCGACCAUUCAUCUUUUAAGAGAAUGGUUCGCGGUACAAAAACGUGUUUUUACUUUAAUAAAAAUCAAACUGUUAUAUAUAACAUAUAGAAACAACCUUUUUUUUAGUUUUGUCAUCUAGUUUACAAUGGAAACAACCAAAACCUAUUGUUUGUUUUUUUCUUACUUUCAUUCUGGAACAAAUUUUUUUUUAACCAGAAAUUUACGCUUAAACUGAUAGAUAUUAAUCAAUUAUUCUGGUUUCAAAGGAGCAAUUUCGAUAACCACGUAUUUUGGUAUUUAACGCUUAUUGGGAAUAGAUGGUUUUAAAAACUAACGAAAAAGUCCUUCUUUUUUCGCUCUAACGGAGUAUUAUUUCAGUUUGCUGAUUGAAAGUGAUAAUAAAUAUGUGUCAAUGGUACAGCUACUUACAAACACACAAAAACACAAGAUAUUUAGAUGUUGUCUAGAUUUUGUGAAUAAAUCAUGGAAUACAGUAGAUUAAUUCUUGUGUUUGAUAAUGAUUAGGUAAGUGGAGCAUCUAAGUCCAGUUUAAGUUAUAGAAUGAGGUACCAGAAGUUGAUAUAGGCGUAUUGCUGCAUUCUUAUGUUAUGAUGUACGAACUGAUUAAUUAUUCUCGUAUUCCUGGAUAGAAUUAUUUGUUUUUGUACACCGUUUUUGUUUAAUGGUUUGUUUAAAUAUGUAUUGUCUCGUCUAAACUUUUGAAAUAUAUUGCUAACAAUCAACGACUCGUCAACCAUGUCUAUCUAUUGCAUCUAUAAUUUACACGACUUAACAAAUCUUUAAACAAAAUACCACAUGAACAUGUUGGUUUAUAUAACAUUAGUCUGUAGAUGUUGUUAAUUGUUGGGGCCCUUCAUCGCUUGCGAUGUGCGCCAAGGCUCCGUCUUGAAGACCGUAAUUUGACCUAUAAUGGUUAAAUUUUUUAAAUUGUGACUUGAAUGGAGAGUUGUGUCAUUGGCACUCUUACCACAUCUUCUUAUAUCUAUGUAGCUUGCUCCUGUGAAUGGUUCUAAUCGUUUUUAUGCACACAGAUAACUUUUCAUUACAGCAUUGAUUCACCUAACAGAAACCUAUAAUCAUAGACGACCAAAGUGUCAUCAUCGUCAUAUCUGUUUAUCUGACGGAGAUUGUAACCCACUUUUGGAAACUAGAAAUCAGCAAUGGACGGAUUGUUCUGUUAUAACAGAUACGACAGUUUGCAAUACUAACACCAGUCCAAAAUGCCUGUUUGAGUCUUUUGUCUGUAAAUUAGACAUAACAGAUCCAGAUAAUGAUCUAUUGGCCAACUUGGUAAUUUGAAAAGUAAUAGGUUAUAAAACACUCAAAUAAAGAUGAAAAUAAACAGAAAU
rnacentral:lncRNA from 1 species